UACGGGGGGGGCAAGCGUUGUUCGGAAUUACUGGGCGUAAAGGGCUCGUAGGCGGCCAACUAAGUCCGACGUGAAAUCCCCAGGCUUAACCUGGGAACUGCGUCGGAUACUGGUUGGCUUGAAUCCGGGAGAGGGAUGCGGAAUUCCAGGUGUAGCGGUGAAAUGCGUAGAUAUCAGGAGGAACACCGGUGGCGAAGGCGGGUCUCUGGGCCGUAACUGACGCUGAGGAGCGAAAGCAUGGGGAGCGAACAGG
rnacentral:rRNA from 1 species